GUGCUGGCUUCAGUGGUACAAAUGGUAAAAUUGAAACAAUGUUGAGAAGGUAGCAUGGUCCCUGCACAAGGAUGACAUACAAAUCUGUGAAGUGUUGCAUAUUUCU
rnacentral:snRNA from 1 species